rnacentral:rRNA from 1 species
AAUAUUGGGCAAUGGGCGAAAGCCUGACCCAGCAACGCCGCGUGAAGGAUGACGGUCUUCGGAUUGUAAACUUCUUUAAUUGGGGAGGAACAAAAUGACCUACCCAAAGAAUAAGUCACGGCUAACUACGUGCCAGCAGCCGCGGUAGUACGUAGGUGACAAGCGUUAUCCGGAUUUACUGGGCGUAAAGGGCGUGUAGGCGGUCUGGCAAGUCAGAAGUGAAAUUCCUGAGCUCAACUCGGGCGCUGCUUCUGAAACUGCUAGACUUGAGUGCUGGAGGGGAUAGCGGAAUUCCUAGUGGAGCGGUAAAAUGCGCAGAUAUUAGGAAGAACACCGGUGGCGAAGGCGGCUAUCUGGACAGUAACUGACGCUGAGGCGCGAAAGCGUGGGGAGCAAACAG